rnacentral:sRNA from 1 species
AUUUUAGAGACAAUCUUAUAAAGGACAGAGCAAAGACUGAUGGGUCGAAUAUCCGUCAUUCUAGCAGGAUUUGUUAUCUUUGGAAUCAGACAUAAGUGAGUAUGGUUCCAAUCUUCAGGGAGAAUUCUUGUCUA